rnacentral:rRNA from 1 species
GACGAACGCUGGCGGCGUGCCUAAUACAUGCAAGUCGAACGAAGUGGGGACGGGUGAGUAACACGUGGGUAACCUCCCAUCAGAGGGGAUAACACUUGGAAACAGGUGCUAAACCGAUACUGAUGGAUGGAACCGCGGUGCAUUAGCUAGUUGGUGAGGUAACGGCUCACCAAGGCCACGAUGCAUAGCUGGCCUGAGAGGGUGAUCGGCCACACUGGGACUGAGACACGGCCCAGACUCCUACGGGAGGCAGCAGUGGGGAAUCUUCGACAAUGGGCGAAAGUCUGACCGAGCAAUGCCGCGUGAAUGAAGAAGGUUUUCGGGUCGUAAAGCUCUGUUGUUAGGGAGGCGUUAUCUAACCAGAAAGCCACGGCUAACUACGUGCCAGCAGCCGCGGUAAUUC